GCAACUUUCUUUCUAAAUUUUUUUCUCUUUUCUUUCUUCUCCUUCUUUUUGACACACUUUUUUUUUGUAACUAAACACAGUGAUCAGAUAUAAUACUUGCAAACUUGAUGAUAGAAACAAAGCACAACUAGAAACUAUAAUUUGAUAGGAUCAAAGAUGACACAGAGGCUGAUAUAGGCUAUAAAGAUUAUUUUGUGGGGAUUUUUAGAUAUAAAAGAGGCACAAAGAACACACGAAGGAUAAAUGAUCAGCAACUAAAACAAUGACUCUAAUGGACUACGACUUAACCGAACUCACUAAAAUAAUAGAUUGAAACAAAGGUCUA
rnacentral:lncRNA from 1 species